AUUUUAAUAUUUAUCAAAUGGGCAAGUACAACCGUAAUCUUCUUGAUUGUCUUCAAUAUUGAUGACCUUUUUAAACAGAAGUAAUUUUAGACUUCUUCUUUGCUGAUGAGAAAUCCAUUCUGAUGGUGAGACAGUGAGAACACUCUAAGUCCUUGCAAAUGUCUCUCUCUUCUCAUUUGUGUUGCAACUGUGUGUUGACUUGGUUGUUGUUAAGACUUCGGCAAGAUUCACAUUGCUGUUUCUUUCUUUUUUUCAAAGCAUACCUAUGAGUUCCAUUUCAAUUUGUUUUUAUUUGAGCUUGCAAUUUGUUCACACCAACAGGAAAAAUCAAAGACAGAUCAGAGCCAUAUUCAAGUAUUCGUAAUCAGUCUUGUUUCAUGAACUCUAGUUAUUUUUGGAUCACCAAAUGUCUGUAAAAAAUAAUAAAAAAACAAUUGUUAUCCAUUAAAU
rnacentral:lncRNA from 1 species